AAACAUCAGACAUUGGUGCUGGGACUUCAUUCAGGUUUCAAUCUGAAGAAUGACAGAAAACUACAAUAACGUCACCCACUGGAAUGGCUAUGAAUACUUCGACUAUGAGUAUAACCAAAAAUUAGAUUUCAUAAGGCACGUGGUAAGAUGCGUCAUCAUUAGUAUCGGCCUUCCUCUGACGCUCAUGGUCAUCUAUGCUCUUUGCUUUCUGGUACGAAAGGAUCAUGUGGCUCCAAUCUACGUCAUCAACCUUCUCAUUUCUUACCUCAUUCAGAUCUGCCGCAUGCUCAGUCUGGAGAUAAAUUAGCAUCAGUCUCGUGCCAUCGUAGAUUAUAUUUACUGUAGUGGCCUAAUGACCAGUGUUUGCUUCAUGGUGUGUGUCU